rnacentral:lncRNA from 10 species
GAUAGCAUCAUGCCAUUGCAUUCCAUCUAAUGACUUCUGCUGAUGUGUGCAUUGAAUAUUUUAAUAUUCCUGGUGUCCCAAAUUAAAAUGUAAUGUUCUUGAAGGUGGAACCUGUGUUUAAGCUUUAACACAUACCCCCAAGCAUUGUGUCCAGUGGCGGGGGCAGACCAUCUCCAUAUCGACUGGGGCCCGUAGGAUCUUAUCUCCAACUGUUAUAAUUUAUAGUUACAUAAGAAGCUACUCCAGUGCAACUAGCUGCUCUCACCUCAAAAAGCUUGAAGAUCUGAAUCACACUGAAGUCAUAAGAGACCAGCCCCAAACAGACUGUAACGCCAAUGUAAUCUAAUGUGUUUUAGGAGGAAAGAAAGUCAAUCAGAAAUAAGUAGCUUGAUCGAGAUGGAGCACUGUCUACACUCUCUGCCUCUAUCUCUAUCACCUCACCUGCUCUUCAAACCCCUUCGCCCCCACUUCAUACUGAAACUCUUAUCCUCAAGGCCUUCAGUGGUCUCCUCAUUACAUUGAGAACAUGAACAGUGUGCUUCCCACAGCUUUCCACAGCCAUUCGGCAUGAGAAUGACCAGGCAUGCUUGCUAAAAAUGAAGACUUCUGAGUCUUAAUACCAGAAAAAUGAAAAACUCCAUCAAUCCAGGAUUCCACAUCUAGAAAAAUAUCCUUUAAAACUGAAGGCAGAGUAAAAGCAUUUUGAGGCAAACAAAAACUGAAAGGACUUAUUGUGAACAGGCAAUCUCCUCAAGAAAUGCUAAGGGGAGGCUGGGUGCAGUGGCUCACACCUGUAAUCCCAGCACUUUGGGAGGCCAAGGCAGGUGAAUCACUUGGGGUCAGGGGUUCGAGACCAGCCUGGCCAACAUGGUGAAACCCCGUCUCUACUAAAAAUACAAAAAUUAGCUGGGCGUUAUCCAGCUUAUAUCUGAAGGAACACACAAGUAACAGCUCUUGGUGGUUUCUAAGUAGUCUACCCAUUUAAAAACUAAAAAGUAAUUGUCCAGAAAACACAGACCAAACACAGCUAACAAAGAUCUCAAGUAGCUUCACCAGGUAGCUGAGCCCGAAUGGACAGAAAGUGAAAAGUUCAACUCGGAAAUACCCCCAUGGGAUCGUGCUGAAGAUCCAAUGGGCGCUAUGAGUUCCCAAGAAUCUUAAGAGGCAUAGAGUUGGCCUCUUUAUUUGAAGCUCAACUUUCCAUCUGAGUGAAGAGGCAAGGUAUAACAUGCAUCCCAGAUGCUCACUCCAACAGCUCCGAGGCACGGAGGCAGGCACUCCUGCCAGCUCCCACGUUUAGCAUCCACUGCACUCCGCUGCAGUCAUGUGGGGACUUAGGCACCGUCCCUGCCUGCUCACACACUGGGGCGAGUUCCUCACUUGUGUGUGUCUGGAACAGCCACGGCCAAUAAAUAGUUGUUAAAUGAAGAAAUAAAUGAACCAUCCUGAACCUGUGGCUUCUUGCUCUGUAAAAUGAAAACAAUACCUACCUCAUCCACUGAAAAUUGUUUUCAAGUGAAAUCAUGUAAAAACUCUUCAUAAACUGUAGGGCACUGAACAAUUAACAGUAAGCCAACAUUAAUAACACCUCCUCCUUUCAUUAGUGAGUACCAUGGGAAAUGUGCCUCCCGAGACUAGGCCUGGAGACUAGCCACCCACAUCCUUCUGCAGCGGGGCUGGGGUGAGGGCCAGUCCAUCCCAGCCGCAGUGGAGAACUGGGCUCAGUGCAAAUGAUUCUUUGCCUUAGUGUUAUUUUUGCUUACAGAAUGGAGCUUUGUGGGUUUGCUUUUCAACUCCAUCUUCUUAAUUCCAUCUGCAGUAGCUCUGUAGGGCUUACCCC